ACUUUCCUGUGGCUCAGUUGGUAGAGUGUUGGACUAACAAUACAAAGGUUGUGGGUUGAAAUCCCAGGGAAAGCA